AAGAACAAGAAGCAAGAAAGGAAGAGAGUAAGAGAAUGAGGAGGGGACAAGCAGCCCCUUUUAUAGUGCCAGGCAUACCUGGCUGUUACCAAGUAACUGUGGGAGUGGAGCUUAGACAGAAAACUAACACAUAGUGAGAACCUGUUUCCAAGAAAAAAAACCAAAAAACAAACAAGCAAAAUGAACAAAAAAGUUUUUUCCAGGACUGAAGAGAUGCUUCAGUAGAGAAGAGAACAUAAUACUCUUGCAGAGGAUCAGAGUUUGGCCAAAGCAAACACAUCUAGCAGCUCACAACCACCUGACUCAGCUCGAAGAGCUCAGAUGCACUCUAUGAUGCCAGCACCUUCAUUCCCAUGUGUGCAUACCCACCAUCACCACCAAGCAGCUACUACACACACAUGCAUAUUAUUAAAAUAAAAUAAAACAUUUUUAUAGAAAAACUUUUGAAAAUUCAGACUCAAACUCUGAACAUAUAGAUCACAAAUUCUCUCCUAAAAGUAGUAUAGGGAAAAACUCCAGCAUUUGGACCUCAUUGAUAGCAACAAGAACCAUGUAGUAUGUGGAAAAUUACUACAAAUCAUUUAUAGGAUUAUAAUCUAUGAGGUGUCAUAUUAUAAAAGCAUAAAUUUCUGCUAAAUCAUAACGAUCACCAGAAAAUUAAUAGUUUAUCGAUGUGUCUGUGGUCUAACUAUAGAGAGGUUCUCAACUCCCCAACACUUGUCUGUUUAUUUAAAUAAGACUUUGUCUAAAGUGAAGAGGACAAUGGAUUAGGAUACAAAUAACAUGAUGAGGAAUAGUUCAAAAAGUGAGUUGUUUUCUUCCUGUUCCAAGCAACUUUUGCAAUUACAAUGUGUCCUCUUUACUAUGCUAACUCAUUAGGAAGCAAUGGUUCUGUAUUGACAAGUCAUCAAUUAUAAAGCUAGACUUGUAGGUAAAAACCACCUUGUUUGAGGUGAUUGGGAUUCGAAAGCUAAUUGUAUGGUGUUUGCUCAUCUCAGGUGAGCAUCAGUGAGAAACAGUGUGUAAAAUACAAUGCACAAAAUAAAUCAGCCCAUAACUUCUCUGUAUUCUGCAGCAUUAACAGAGAAACUAUCAAUGAUGAUGUCAAAAACUUAAGCUUAAAAGUAACUUAGACAUGAACUCAAAUAUCUACAACACAUUAUGCCCAUCAUUUGGGGAAUGUCCUCAGAACACUUUAGUGAUUUAUCACAGGAUUCUAUCCUGCCAGUGCAGAGCAAAAAUCAUACUGGAACAGACUUAGAAUCCCUUUGAAAACUAUACAAAACAUAAAGUUACUUAAAGGCACCAUCCAACCGCUACUGAGAGACACAAUGGAAAGAUUUACUAAUGAAUGUCCUCAGCUCAGAUCUUAGUCAAAGGACUGCCACCUUAGCUAUUAUACAGGGUAUAUUCAAGAGCAGUGAGCCUCAGAUCUCUUCACCUAUUAACAAGAAAUGUGACUGACUAGUGGUCAGAAGAUCCCCAUGUGGGGCUGUAUGUGGAUAUUAGGUACAGAUGUGACCAGAGUAAAGAGAACUGAACGUAAAUAUGUCAAGCAAAGAGGGUUCCAUUGUUUAAUCCUGUCUUUAGCAGUCUUUUUUUAUUUAAGUUUUAGAUUUAAGUUCUGAAUAGAGUCUCCUCAAGGUUUAAAAGUAAAACAGUUUUGAACAGAUGAGACUGAUUUAAACUAGUCAGCUAAAAAUAGUGUAAAAUUCCUCAGUGUAGGGUUCCGAGGGUCCCAUGUCCACUCUGCCACAGGGCAAGGCUGCAAUAGGCGGGAUGUGGGAGAUGACUGCACUUACCCCAUCGACCAGUGGUUAUAUGGGAAGUCAAGGGAUACUGCUCUGGGGGGGAUGAAAUGUAGUCUGAGGCACAGGACCACUGGAGCUGCCUGAGGGAUUGGGGAGGUUCCUUGGGCCUGCAACAAAGCACGGGCUGUCUGGUUCUUAUGCUCUUAGUCAUCCAGGUGCCCCUGAAUGCCACAGAAGAGUUGAGAAUGGAGUUGGGGCCCAUGGAACUGGAUCUAGUCCAGGGCUGAAGGGGAAAGAAGGGGGCCUCUAGCUGGUCCUUUGAGGAGAGGCUUUGGAUUGGUGAUGGGGGCUUGGUUUGGCUUGGUUGUGGUGGUUGCUGUGGCUGGGAGAGCAUGGAGGCCUUCUGCAGGAGAUUAGAUACUGGCUCUGUAGUCUAAGGCCUUCUCUGUGGCUCACCAUGGUGAAUCCCAAUAAAAAGAGGCAGUCCAUGGUUUUACGAUAUUUACCGGCAUGGUCAAAAGUGAAUGAUUAAAUCCAUACCCCACGUCUUAGGGUGGACUUGCGAUUAAGUACCUUUUGAAGGGUUAAAUAUCUAGGAAGGAAAGGUUAUUGACUAAGCCUCCAGGCCUUUGGUACCUCAUUAAAAUGGAGAUCUGCCUUGAGUCUAUGAGACCACAGGCCAUUUCCUCUACCUGUGAAGGGACUUGAGGCAUUACCCUUAUGUGACUGAUGGCCAUGAAUCUAUGGAGGGCUGUGGGCUUGUGAUCUGCCUAGUUUCCCAGGAAUCAGGCGAAAUGCCUACUGUCUCUUCAGUGUCACCGGGAUUUCUAGCCUUAGUUCAACCAGAAACCAGGCUGUCUUUCAUGGUACCACACAGUUCUUACUUCUUGUUUUCAUAUGACUCUAUGAAAGUUGCCCAAAGUGCCUCAAUCACUGAAAGGUUCUGUAAGCUAAAACUGUAAAGAAAUAUUAAGGCAAAAAUAUUAAAGGUCAGCCAAUCAGUGGCUAUAAAGUAUAUUUAUGCCCUGUUCCAUUCAACAUACCACAACAGUCAGCCAGCUGGCUUCCCUUCGGUGAAAGGGGAAUGGUAGAGCAGCAUGGAUUUAGAAUGUUUACAAUAGGCUUCUUGACUUACAGGAUUACUAAAGCAUGUGUCCUUCUUGCUGGGCACAGCAGUAGCAGCUCAUUCUGGACUUCAAUGUACAUGUUAAGAGGCCUCUCACACCCCAUCAAAAAACUUCCUUUUUUCUGCUUACGUGGGCAUUGGUAAGCUUUACUUAAUUUUGCUUAUUUUUUGGUUUUUCUGACAUAGGGUCUCUAUAGCCCAGGAUGGCCUAGAACUCAAAGUUAUCCUACUGACUCAGACUGGGUCUUGGCAUACACUACCACAUUUGAUUCUUAAUUUUAAUAUUUGUCAAAGGAACUAUCUUCAUUAGGAACAAUCAGGUUUUGCAAAAGUGGCAUUUCACAUAUUUACUAAGUAAAUUACUUAUACAAUAAAUAAUAAAGAGCUCAUUAUCACACCCUGACAAAAUGCUCCCAAAUACAGCUAAUGGCAUUUGUAACUCCUAAAGAUAUGAAGUAUUAAUGAAGGAAACUGAAGCUUGCCUGCCCCCCAACACCCCCGUAAUUUCAACACUCAGAAGACUGAGGCCGAACAGUUAUGGCUGGUUUGGGCUACCUAGGAGUGGUAAUGGCGAUGUUGUGGGGAGGAGACAUAGGAAGAACAAGCCAGGUACAGUAAGUCACACCUGUAAUCCCAGAACACAGGAAGAAGCCAAGGCAAGAGGAUUAUGAGUCCAAGCCAACAGAGGCUAGAUAGCUAUGUAGUUAGAUCCUAUCUCAAACAAACCAAUAACCAAAACAUGUAAGUGCAACUGCCUUUGAGUGACCUUAUUCAGUCUCACUGCUGUGGUCAUAUACAGAUACAAAGUGCUACCCUACCCUCACUUAAUAGUUACAAGAAAUAUUUGUUAACUAAAACAAUUGUACAAUGAGUUCACAGUUGUGCCCAUUUUAGUCAUGACAUAACACAUAAUGUGCCACAAAUGUAGAGAAAGCAACCUGGGGCCACUCUUAGACAAGGCGAGAUAAGCUGGGUUUGGGCCCACACCUAUCUCUCUUCUCAGUACCUUUCCCCCUUACCUUAGCCAUCAGUUUCCUACUUAGGCAGUUACUUACAACUGAGGACCUUAAGGUAUAGUGCAAUCCAGGGACAUCUGUAUUUAAAGGGACCUCUCUGUAAGAAAUCAAUGGGACAGUCUUUUAAAUGAAGAGAGUGAAACUGGGAUAUCACAUGCAAAAGAAGAUGGACCAUUAGCUUACACUAUAUAUAAGUAUUAAUUCACAAUAGAUUUUAAAAUGGACUUAAACAUAAGACCAAAACUACUGAACUCUAGAAAAAGAAAAUAGGUAAAUAUUUUGACAGUGGAUUUGUUAAUGAUUUCUUGGAUAUGAUAUGAACAUAUACUCACAACAAAGUAGAUAAACUAGAAAAUACUCAGACAUAAUACUGUGAAAGCAGAAGGGGGUCCAUGACAAGAAUAAAUCCCAUGAUUGUGUGUGCCAACUAAAACUCUUAACUAAACUUUUGGGGAGAAAAAGUAAAAACUGGAGCUGAAGAGAUGGUUCAGCACUUGAGAACACUUGCUUCUAUUGCAUAGGACUAAGGUUUAGUAUUCAGCGCACACAAGGCAACUUGGAACCAUCUGUAACUGCAGUUUCAGGAUAUGCAACAUUUUCUUGCCUGUACAUGCAUGCUGUAAGCAUACAAACAUGUAGUCAAAUAUUCGUAUGUUGAAUUAGUAAUUUUCAGCACUCAAAUGCUGCUGCCGGUAGCAACAGCACACAAUCACAAUCCUCACCGCCUGCCCAAAUGCUCUAGAUUUGCAAAUGAAACACACACAAAGACACACACACACACACAUACACACACCCAAAGACACACACACAGACAGACACACACACACCACAUACACACACACAGACACACACACAAACACACACACACCACACACACACACUGACAAACACACAAACACAUACACACACAGACACACACACAAACACCCACACCACACACACACACACUGACACACACACAAACACACACAGACACACACACACAGACACACACACACACACAUACACACACACACACACAGACACACUCAGAGUCUUCUAUUUAAUAUACUUUAUACAUCGAAAUGUCUGGACCCAUCCAAACAUCCCAGCAACUAAAACAUUCUCCCCUCCCAUAUGCUUUAAUUAUUUCUUACUAAAGCCUAUAUUCAAUACUGGCAGUCACAGACCCAAGCCUGCAGCCCUCAUGCACCAUGAACUCCAACUCUUACAUGUUUUCAGUGUCUCUGUGUCUUUGUCUCCCUGUCCUACAUUUCUUAGGCCAGGACCUUCUCUUUCCCUGGCAAUGGUGAUUCCCAAGUCCUGCCUCUGUCUCCCUGCCUAGCCAUUGGCCACCAGCAACUUUAUUACCAAUCAGAGCCAACUGGGGUAUGGACUCUCAGAGUCUUACAGGCAGACAGGUUCCCAUGUGCUUUUGGGAGCCAAAUGAAAACAAAUAGCAUUACAAACAAUCCACAACACUCAUACACAAUAAGAAAAUAAAUAUUUAAGGUAAAACUGCAUCAAAUCACACAGCAGUGAAAAGGCAACUUACAAAAUGGAAGAAAGUAUGUGAAAUUAUAUUCAAUAAGAGAUAAAGAUAGGAGAAGCCGUGGCAGGACAAGAUGUCAGUUGAUGUUAAGAUUCUGCUCUGUGUAUUUACAGGUUGUUAUUUAUGUUCUCAAGAGAUGGAUAGUACCGGGCUUUGUAUGUUUAAGUGAGCAAUUGUAUUUUACCAAUUGGAUCUAAGAUUAUUGUGUUGUGUGUUUUUUUAUGUGAGGGUUUGAGAGUAGGAAAGUGUGCAGGUGGGCUGUGUUUACACCAAGAUAUCUAGCAGAUAUCUUGGGGCACCGCAGUGAGGACCUAGCAGGGUAAAGACAAUUACUCUUUUUAUUUUUAUAUUUUUACAACAACAGAUGGCACGCCAAGGUGAUGGGCAAGAAUCCAUUAGUAAUCCUGAGAGUUGAGAGAAAGUUUUUAUUUUCUAAGUAAGAGGAGGCCGGCGCCAUGUUAAGUCAUGUGAUAUCUUAAGCAUGGGAAUUCAAACAAAGAAAGGGGAAGCCACCUGGGCUGGCAGGCUGUAGGUCCCCUGCUGUGUGAUAAGUAAUGGCAGAUCAGAGAGUCAGAGAUUAAAAGCUGCUUUUUAAAGAAAGUUGUUUAGAAAGUCUUUCAGGAUACUCAUAUUCUUUUUAAUGUGGGCUCCACGGGAAUUUUGGGUUGAAAUCCUAGUUAGACAAGCUACUUCUUAAUUACAGGCAUUAUUAAAAGGUGAUUGAGUUUGUUUUUAGAAAGAAGAGAGUAAAGAGAUUACCUGAAUCAGGUGGGGAUUUUCAUCCAGGAUUCAGAACUUAAAUAGGGAAAAGUUAGUCACUAACUCGAAGUAGAGAGUUGUGAUGAAAUGUCUGUAACACCAAGGAGAGUGAAAGCAGGCAUAUAUUUUAGAAAUUAUUAAGGUUAAAGAAAAAUCUGUGGCUCCGGGUAGAGAGCUUAACAGGUGGAUAUAUUUUGGGUUAAAUUCCCGAGUUUUAAGUUGUUUAUUGGUAUUAGAAUUGAUAGAAGGUGUUUAAGUUUGUUUUAAGGGGAGUAAAGAGAUCACCCGAAUCACAAGGAGAUUUUCAUCUAUGGUUCAGAACUUAGAUAGGGAAAAAUUAGUCUCUAACUCCAAGUAGGGAGAUGUGAUUAAUGUCUGUAACACCAAGGAGAGUGAAUGCAGGCAUAUAUUUUAGAAGUUAUUAAGGUUAAAGAAAAAUCCGUGGCUCCGGGUAGAGAGCUUAGCAGAUUGAUAUAUUUUGGAUUAAAUUCCUGGUUUGAUGUGUUGCUUAUUGAUACUGGAAUUGAUAAAAGGUAUUUGGUUUGUUUUAUGGAUUACACCGCUAAAGGCCUUAUGGCUCGUUGAUGCCGGCUAGCGAGGGUUUGUGGUUACUUUUCAUAUAUACCACAACAGGAAGCUCGAAUUCUCUUAACGUGGGCUCCACGGGAACUUUGGGAUAAUUUCCCGAUAUCACAGAGUACAAAAGCCUAUCAGGCUCAUUGUUUAGCUUACUUCCUUUUUUAAAGAAUUGUUUAAUAUUCAUGAUGGGUGUGACUUUGAGUUUUAUGAUUAUAUUAUUAAUCUGGGAGAGAGUGCAAGAUACAAGCUUUUCUGGUUUCAGACUAAGGAACACAGUAUUUUGGGAGAAAGAUUUUGUCUUUGUGUUUUUAAAACCUGUGAUUAGGCUCUGGAAAGCUCACAGAGUCAUACUGAUCAGAUUUGAUAGAGGUAGACCACCUGAAAUAUUUAUUCAGGAGAAUCUAACAAAAAGGUAUCUCGAUUGUAAACUUUUUCUUGAGAGUUGUAUUUUACAGAGCAUGCCUACCUACUUGGAAUCCUGGUCUCAAGGACUUUCAGCUGGGUCCAGUCAGGACACAUCCACUACAGCAUUUGCUUCAUUCUUCCUACCUCCUACCCCCAAGGAUAUCUCAACGCCCAUGUACAGCUUGAAGAAGUUAUGGAGGAGUCGUCGCCCCAAUUCCCUCUAUAGGAUCUUACCAUCACAUUCUGAUGGGUAGCCCUGAGCAACGAGAAUUGACAUCUCUGGUAUCAUCUCUGUGACAUCCUCGACCAACAACUUGAGAGUGAGAUGUCCUACAUCUGGCUCUGGACUUUUUGAGAACUUGUAGCCAAUGGAAGGAGAAUUAUCCACCUUCUGAACACUUUCCAGGCCGUUCCGGCAUCCGAUGAAUGUGAUUCCUAUGCCCUCUUUGUCUAUCCUGCCAUUGGUCUUCAGUUUUUGGAACUCACCCCAAAGAAUCCUACAGUGUCCGGCUGCAGCUUCCUGCUAAGGUGGGCUUCUGCCAAGGGGAAGCAGAUGACCUGAAGAGAAAAGCCCUGUAUUUCAGCCUGAAUAACAGUGAGCAGUCGGUGAAGAAUCUCUACCAGAUAUAGAGACUUUGAUGAUUUUAAUCUGGAGCAUGCGCUGAAAGAAACUUCCUCAGUAAAGCGUGACUCAAACAAACAAGUCCACCAAGCAAGCACAAGUGGUCGGCCGUGCACCACACUGACAAUCUUGCCUUCAGAAAAGUACAGGCAUAUGACACUAGCUGUUCCUCCAUCCACCUGUUGGUUCUGUUGUGCAGGCUUGUGUCAUCUCGUCAUACGUGUGUCAUCUUCCUUUUUCAUUUAGUUUAUGUCGAGCCCACGAGAGAACGUGCAUCUGCCUUACCCUUUUUUCUGCUGUACAAAAAGAGAGCUCCGACCAGUUUCAUUCCUCUCACUGUUUUGUUUUGAGACAGUGUCUCUUGAUUUAGCCAGGGUUGUCCUAAAAUUCUCUGUGCUGACAAGGCCGGCUUUGACUUGGGUCCAGUGCUAGAGCAACAGUGACUCUUGGGCACUGAUGUGCAUUUCUAGCUUCAGAACCCAUGACUUUUUAUGAUUCUUCAGUGUCAUCCCCUCAAUGGCCUCGGGGACCGAUACUGAGACCCUUCUCAGGAUGUGACUUCUGUAAACCAUUAAGCAGCCGCUGUGUUUUACAAUCUGCUUCCUUUUUCCUCCCUUCUCCCUUCAGAGAGCCACUUUAGCACCACGACUAGAAGGACAGGAACAACCAGAGCCCCAUCAAAUCCAGCAGAGAGAGGGGACCACAUCACCACUACUACAACAAGAAGGCCAGGAACAACUAGAGCACUGUCAAAUUCUAUGGAACUUGAUGGGUUUGACUUGGAAGAUGCCUUGGAUGAUCGGACCGAUCUAGAUGGCCCCAAAAAGAAAAGUACAGGAGAGGGAGGAGGUAAGUUCUAGAUGCUCAACAUCACAGGCCAGUGCUAUAGUUCCUGGUAUGGUUUGCCUUAUACCUGCAAUGGCAUUCUGAGACGUCCAGAGUACUGUAGAUCUGGGCCAGAUCUGGGCCACAUCUAGCUGUAGGAGAAACCCACAACAGUAGUACUGAUAUAUUUUGGUCUUAGGAUUCUCCGAAUUAUUGGGAAUCUCAAUAACUAUUGUCUGUGUGUGUCAUAUCUAUCUCUGUUUAUCAUCUAUAUAUUUAAUUUUUUUAAAAAAUCAGUAUUGUUCAUAUAAAAUGAUAAUACUAAACCAAUACAUAUUAACAUAAAUAGCACAUUGUAUGAGUCUGUGUGUCGAGAGAAAAACAAUUUGUCAGAGAGUGGCAUUACUUUAUACUUCUUAGAAAUUUCUAGAAUGUCAAUCUUGCUAGGAGAUACCUAGAUUCUCAUAUUGAUAUAUGCAGCUUAAAAGCUGUCCUCUGACCUACACACACAUACACACACACACACACACACAAACACUUAAAUACAAUUAAAUUCAAAAGGAUUUAAAACAGACAUAUAAAUGAAUAAUACAUUUUAAAAAGUGUUUAGUAACCUUUCCUCACUUAGUUCUCCUUUCAUUACUUUUCUGGUUGCCCUGACCAAGUACCUAGCAAGCGAAGAGGAGAGGAAGGAUUCUUUCAGCUUAUCAUUUUAGAAUUGAUGAGGCCCUGAUAUGACUCUGCUACUCACGUUGUAUCCACACAGAGGAAGUGGAGAGACAGAGACAGGAAGUGGGCUAGUAAAACCCAGAUGUCACCUUUCAGUGAUGUAUUUCCAAAAGCAGGCCUCAAGAGUCCCAGCAAACGAGCCUAUAGGGAAAUUUCACGUUUGAACUACAACACCCAUUCAAUGGACUUGUGCCCAUUUGUAGUUUUCUAGCAUUGCAGGUUAGUCUUUUGGAAAACCUUGUUCUCUUAUGGUUUAUAAAAGUCCAGUGUAAUGCUGCGUGCUAGAAUAAAAAAAUCUAACUUGCUGCUAACACCACCCAUACCACUGGAAAAGACUCACGGUAGCUUACAAAGGCUUCACUCGAAAUCUGGUCGACAAGCACCAUCAGUGGCUGUCCUGGACUGACAGAUACAUUUCAUUCAGUUUUAAGAAAUGCUUCCCAAGUCAUCCAGUUGGUACGACGUUCAUUCUGCCUGGCAAAAGUGGUCUCAUGACACAAAGCAGACAAAGCCAAGUAAGAGAAGGAACAGUGAUGCCAGGGGCUUAGCAAAUCAUCCCCCUGUCCUCUGGAAUACAGCGGGACGGCUCUAAGCACACUUUGCACACAGAGCAUAGGACAUUCAGGAAGAUGUGUACUUAAUCACUGAAUUAUGGUUAAUAAUGAUUCUGCUUCUUGUAUUAGUCAUCUGUGAUUGUGUUGCAGAUUGUGAGACACUUGAGACUUAUUUUUGCAGAAAGGCAUUAAUCUCCUUGGUUCAGUUAAGAAGCAGAGUCUUCUAUAGAGUCAGAGCCUCAGAGAGCUGCCAACGAGGCAGGGGCAUGGCAUCUCAUCUGAACUUAAUUAUAGGAUUGCAUUUCUUCUCUCUGUGGUCACACAAACACUCAAGAUGAUUGGACGUUCUACAGAACAUAUACAUCGGCAGUGAGCUGUCUGAGGGGUCGGUUGAAAUUUUGCCUACCCCCUUUCUUCCUUGUUCAUUUCCCUCAACCUCCAUCCCUUCCUCCUCCUUCUCCCCCUCCCUUGUGUAAGAGCACAGGUGUGGUUCUGAGACCUUACAUCUGCUGUGCCACUGAACCACACUCUCAGUUCCAUGAAGAACACUCACGUGUCAUGAACAACUUUGACUAAUCCAAAUGUUUGCUGCUGAGAUUUUUUCUUUUGGCCACUGAAAUGUGUGGUUUUUCUAUAGGUUGGUCAGACAAGGUUCUCGAAGAUAUCUUGGGAGGCGGGGGAUACAAACCUGACAAGAAUAAAGGUAGGAAUGUUGCUUUGUCUGGCAACACAUGGAUUCUCCUUAAAGUGCUAACCAUCCGGCCGCCAGGUAAACAUGUCACUCUCAGCCUCUGGCAAAUCAGGCUUCGACAUGUGCACUUGUCGUGUGCAGUGGGCUCUCAUUCCUGCGGGUGGGGGCUCAUUUGUGAGCCAUCCUGAGAUGCUACCCAUUUGCUCUGUUGCUCUUUAAGCCUGAGCUGGUGUCCCCACUACCUAGAUGCACCUCGUAAGCCAGUUUUCCAUGCAGUGUGAGGGUUCAAACUUAGCAUGGCACACAUUUUAAAGAAGCCCUUAGCAAAUCAGAUGUUUACAAAAUUCCUUUGGAUUCCAUUUCCCCUUCCCAGGAAGAUUCACAUUUCCCUCCUAUUGGAUCCCAGGAAGUGGAAACUCUCCUUGGGGUGUAUCGUGUGAACGAAGAAACUAUUUUCAAUUAAAAAGACAAAAAGUUGGGGGAGGGGAAGUGGAGGGAAUGGGGGCUGAUGGACAGGAAGGCAGGAAGGGGAAUAACAUCUGAAAUGUAAGGAAAGAAAUAUAUCUAAUAAGAAAUUAAAAAAAAGAAAAAUUAAAACAAAAAGCAAUUUAUAAAAAAAAUUAUCUAAUGAAAAAUUUAAAAAAAAAGAAAGACAAAAAGUCCCACAUCGUACCUUGCUGGGUCUGAGGCCCAAGUCCUGUUUAUCAGCUGAUACAGUCCAUUCUUACCUUAAAGAUCAUGAGAGCUUUGCUACUUUGCAACAUAAUUUCAAGGUAGCCAUCCCUGAGGUUUAAUUAGGAAAAUUAAACCACAGGAUCAGACUGUCUAGAGGUUUCAAUCCAGUCUGACACACAAAACAAAACACAAAACAAAAACAACCAACUGAAAAAAAAAAAAAACCUUACUAUUAAAAAAAAAUAAAGUGGCACCGGUUCAGGAAAACUACGGAAUCUUCAUCCAGCCUCGCCCAAGGAGCCUCCAUUGUAGAACCAUAGAGCUGGUUGUUCUAAAUCGGAAGUUGUUAUCUGUGAAAUAAAGUCACCUAUUGACAUUUUGGAAGUUAUGUUAGAUCUCAUUUUGUGUGUGUGUGUGUGUGUGUGUGUGUGUGUGUUUGUGUGUGCGUGUGUGUGUGUGUGUCUGUGUGUGUCUAUGUCUGUGUGUGUGUGCCUAUGUGUGUGUGUCUGUGUGUGUCUAUGUCUGUGUAUGUGUGUGCCUAUGUGUGUGUGUGUAUGUCGGUGUGUCUGUGUUUGUAUGCCUGUGUGUGUAUCUAUAUGCAUGUGUGCCUGUGUGUGUAUGUGUGUCUUUGGGUCUGUGUGUGUGUGUGUGUGUGUGUGAAAUUUUAUCACAUGUGUAGAUUUCAAUAGGCCUUAACACAACCAGGGAGAGAUUAUCAUAAAAUCUCUUCUGCAUGCUGCCCCUUGAACAGUCAUGUCCUUCCCAAGCCUCAUGUUUGCAGUUUCCACAGCUGUUCAUGACUGAAACCUUUCUUCACACAUCUGUCAGAUGGGACCUUAAGCUUGGAUGGGGUGAGAUGUCUGAGUCUUGUGUGGUGAAGUACGUUCCUGUUGGAACCCAUAGGUGUCACAUGUCACAGUUGUGACCUUUCAAAUAACCAAUUUUGACAAGAAGUUGGAAUGUUGUGGUGUUUGAAACCCUUUGUUUAUUAUUCCAAGUUAUGAUGGAGAAAUUGUAGCAGGGUCCGAAGAAUUCAAGCUUUGAGUCCAUCAAGACCCCUCUUUCCGAGUCCAGGCUGAAGUUGAGCAUUUGCUUUGUUCUUGCAAGCGCUGUGCCUUAUAUAUGGGAACAGUGUUCUGUUGCUUAAAAUGCCCCAUAGUCAUGUUUGUCCCCAGAAACACCUUUCCAGAUGGUAUCAUCUCGAGGAAAAAGCCCAGGGGUCAGGAGGACACAGAGCAUUUAAAGGGUCACAAUUGGUAUUUCCAGAUGGGGAGAGAAGGGCAGUGGUUACCUCUGGUAAGCGUGCAGGGGAACGAAAGCCUGAGUGACAAGCCGGGGGCUUCUCUUCAUUUAAUGUACUUGUUUUAGCAAGGAAGAGAUGUCCGGAAAUUCUUUAAUUGGGCUCACGUUGUAGCUCAUCUUGUAAAGAAUAAUUAAUUGUUUGCUACAGUUACUCCCUCCGCCACCCAUCACUGUAGGUGUCGGAAAAGAAGAUCAAAGGGUGACAAGGGGAACACGGGUGACAUUCACAGACACUGUCCCUUCCACCGAAAACCAAGCUCAUGAUGAGGACCGAAAGGGAAGCAUCACAUAAUUUCCUUACAUUACAAACUCAAUUAGCAAACUUUCUCGACUCGAGUCUUUAUGACGUACCUUCAGUCGUUCUGGCGUGGAUUUGUCAAGUAAUAUGUUAUCCGUUAUGUAUUUUUUCCUCAAGACAACAUUGUAGACACACUGCGAGUGUGUACCUGAGUCCUCGAGCAUUUCUUGAAGUGAGUAGCUUGCCAACCCUCCGUUCUUCCUCUUCCUUUGACAUUUCAGGACUCACACUGUUGCCAGUUUUUUUUGCAAAUGGCCUUGUUCUUUUCGUAGUAUGGAUGAGAGAAGGUCCAAAGAGGUGUCUUUGGAGUCGUUUCCACAAUAUUUCUGGCUUUAACGUGGGGAAAUACUGUUCUAUGGUGAGGAGACACAUUGGACACCCACAGUCGCUCCAACAGAUCAGGGAGUGCAGCAUGAACAUAGGAAUGAUGUUGAUCUGCUCUUUUUUUCUCGGCAGGGUUUUGUUUUACAGCCCCAGCUUGCCUGGAUGUCAAGAGCUUUCUGACUUAGCCCUCUAGGUUCAAGGGUGGCGCCACCUGGCGUAGCUUUAUUUAUUGACUUUAAAAACACCAUACUUCUCUUGCUAUUUUUUGAUACAAUAAAAGCACAUUUUAAAAAUAUUUAAAAGCCCUUGCUGUUUCUUGCUGGAAGCCUGGGACACUCACAAGGUCCCCAGCAGUUGUCGACAUAAUCACUCCACCAUCCCAUGAUUCUCUGUGUCCUUGGCAACCAGAUGUCUCAGGCACUCGAUGGGAGCCACAAGCUAGGUGGCCAUCAGAGAGGGACAGACUCCUGCCUCAUGUCCCUGCCUCUCCCAGGAAGUGCCUCCACAAGACUGGAGGCUGACAUGUAUGUGUGUGUGUGUGUGUGUGUGUGUGUGUGCAUUGUCAUCUUUGUUUCUGAGCUGCUGAAAGUCUGACACUUCUGUUAACAGCAUAAUUUCUUAACCCAUUGUCUAUAAGAAUAGUAAAUAAUAAAUAAUAAUUAAUAGUAAUAUUAAUAAAGGAAAGAUGUUUAUUUAACUCCAUGUUCUGGGAGCCGGGUUACCAAGAUGGGUAGCUAUAUCUGGUGAAGGACUCACGUUGUACCCUAACAUGGCAGAAAACAAAAGGGCAAAUGGGCACAGACCCAUAAGGCAACACAGCCUGCUCUUGUGGCACCGAACGGAAGCAUCACACUUUUUACCUCAAGUUUCCGUGGGGACAAGAUUUAUUCAAACCACUGAGCACAACUUCCUCACUGAAAUAAUUCCUCUUAUUCUAUAGGGUCCACCCAAGUAAAGGUGGUUGCUAUAGCGACAAGGUCCCUGUAACCUCAAUCGGGCAAGCAUCACAGUUUUGUAAUCUUUGCAAAUACAAUCAGAACAGGGCAUUAAUCCUGGUCGCAGUUUCAUGUCUUUGAAUACAUGUGUUUUUAGAAAUUCGGUAUACAUCGUGAUCUCAUGUUCAUGCCCUUGACCCAGUUUCUCCUCAUCGUUUUAUAAUAAUUUAUAUCACCGAGCCCUUUUCCAUAUAUUACCAAACAUUUUAAUUUGCUAUUUGUCAGUGGACUGCCAGACCGAAGGCCGUCAUGAAAGAACUGUGCUGCUGUGAACAUCUGUAUAUGGGCGUAUAGAAGGUUUCACACAGGCAUAGUUUUUAAGUGCCUUGAGUACAUGUGGGCAUUGGCAUCCGCUCAGCAUCUGCUAGGGUCUCUGUGCUGGGUCCAGACAUGGCUCUGUUUCACUUGUGGGUGGCCCUUUAAUACCCGAACAAUAUAUUAUAUAUUGUCUCUUUACUAAUCUCACUGCACUUGCCCAAAUUUCUCCUCUUGAGACUUAACCAGAGAACAAAGUCUCUUCUGGGCUUUUCUGAGACUUCCUUUGACGCUGCAAUGAAUCUGAGUCUUCACCUUAGCCUCAGGCAGACUCUUCAGACAAGGGCAAGAAGCAGCCACAUUCUUCACCAAAACACCACAAAAACAAUCUCCAGGCCACACACUGAAAUUCUUCUCCCCUGAAGUCUCCUGGGCCAGGUCUAUGCAGUAAAAUUCACUCACAGCCACAAAGUCUUCCUGCCAGGAUAGCUCAUUGGGUCCCACUCAAAUCAUUUCAUGGCUUUCCAAAUCCAAAGUCCCAAAAUUCACAUUCUUCCAAACAAAAGUAUGACCAGGCCUAUCAUUAAUACCCAGGCCUUGGUAUCAACUUCUGACUUACUUAGGGUUUUACUGCUGCGGACAGUCAGCGUGACCGAGGCAGCUCUCACAGGGACAACAUGUGACUGGGGCUGGCUUACAGGGUUAGAAGUUCAGUCCGUCAUCAUCAUGGCAGGAGCAGGGCAUUGUCCAGGCAGGAUGGUACAAGAGGAGGUGAGAGUUCUCUAUCCUCAUCUGAAGGCUGCUAGCAGAGCACUGAGAGACUUACAACCCACACCCACAGGGCCACGCCCACUCCAGCAGGGCCACACCCUCUCCAGCAUGGCCAAACCCACUCCAGCCAGGGUCACACCCACUCCAGCCAGGGUCACACUUACUCCAGGAAGGCCACAACCACACCCACUCCAGCAGUGCCACACCACUCCAACAGGCCACACCCACUCCAGCAGUGCCACACCCUCUAAUGGUGCCACUCCCUGGGCUGAGUACAAACCAUUAAAGUGGUUGGGUUCAGCCUGAAAGGUAAAAGUUUUAUAGUUGCCCCUCUAGACACAAAGUUCAGAGCAGAAAAAAAAAAAAAAGGUUAGACCCCAGAAUUGUAUGUUCCAAGAAGCCUCUCCUAGGGCUAUAGAAUGGAUAAUUACAUUGGCCAGCUCAACAGCUUUCUCCCAGAAACUAGCUGACCAUAAAUCUUAGAGAACAAUCUUGAGAAGCAGGAAACAACUUCUCCUAGGAACUAGUGGACCAUGAAGUUAAACAAUCUGAGAAGUAGGAGACAGCUUCUCCUAGGAAACAAUCUUGGGGGACAGAGAGUUCCUCCUUGUGAUUUUUCACUGUUAUUCUACACACUUUCCAAUGACGCCAUCCCUGCCCCUCGAGUUGUGGUUUCUCCCUUUAAAUACCUCUUCUCCCAGCCUCUCGGGGUCGAACUCCACUGCCCCUGCGUGGGAUACGAGUCUCGACCCCAGUGCACUGGUUGCUAUCGAUAAACCUCAUGUGAUUACAAGGACAGUCUUGUGUGAGUUCUUGGGGGGUUGCGUCAUCCCGAGACUUGAGUGAGGGUCUCCCCACUCCGGGGGUCUUUCAUUUGGGGGCUCGUCCGGGAUGGGUGACCACCCUCGUCUCCAAAGACCCACUUGGAGGUGAGAUAGCGUCUGUGUCUUUGUCUGUGUCUGAGUUUUGUGCCAGCUAAAUUCUGGGUCUGUAUUUGCUACUCUGGGUCUGUAUUUGCUCGCGAGUUCUGGAGUUCUGCUUUCGCAGUCACUCCCAUCUCGAGCUGAGAGGGAGGCUCGUGUCUCAGGAGAGAAGCGAGUGUGAGCGGUAGACGUGCCUGGGGCUCACUGAUUGCACUGCCCUGGGAGAUGUCCCAGGAGGUGAGGAGGGACCCCAGGGACACCUGGCAGAUUCCCAUCUGGGUGCUUGUGAGGAUUCAGUGAUUCUCCUGGAUUGGAGAAAAGACCUGCCCUACUGGACAUCUGUAUUUCCAGAGUGGUUUUUGUCUGUGUGUCUUAGGUCUUUGUUUUGUGUUACCACUAAAUUGAACACACAACUUGUCAGUUGAGAUUCUGGUUGGGAAAGAGGAGUGAUGUGGAAUCCGCUCCCCUUCAUCUGUUUUUGGUGAGCUCACAGAAGCUCCUAUCUGAAUCAGUUCGGUUUUGUGGUAAUCUUGCAGCGGCCACUUGUCUUUUGUUUUUGUGCACACUUCUGUUUUUUUUUUGUCUGUUAAUCUUUUGAUUGUCUUUCUGUGUGACUGAAUGAAUGCUUUUGUCCUUUUUGGCGGACCUCUAUUUUCUGGACUCUCUUCUUGUUUUCUCACCAUCCCACUUGAGAUGCUUGUUAAUAGCUGUUACAGGAAAUACAGAAUCCUACUAGAGGCCAGAAAAAAAAUGUUCCAGACACAGAUGUAAGACCCUAACUUCUGCCUGUUGGAUUCAAUAUGCCUGAAGGUAGGGAGUGCUCUGGGUCUGCCCCCAGGCUCAAAGGGUGGGUCUCCGAGGGGCUAAAAAAUGCCCCACCAAUCUGUCUAUGAUAAGGAAAAUAUAUGAAGAGAAAGUUACAGGAAUUUAAAGAGUUAAGAAGUUAGAGAGCUAAAGAGAGAUAAAAGACAAGAGAGGAACAUAUACUGGCCACAGUAGUUAGGGAACCUAAGAAGACAGUACUUGACAACAGAAGAGAAUUCCUGGCUAAAGAUCAGUGUGCCUAAUACAAAGAAAAAGGACACUGGGUCAGAGACUGCCCCAGAAAGAAUAAGAGGGGCCACUGGAGAGCCUCUUGGUCCUAGAGUGCUGGCUAUGCGCAGAGAUAGAAGAGAAGUCCGCACAGUUGUUUUAUGGAUACAGAGACCCAACGCUCUGUGCUCCUAUGCCCCAGUGGGCCAGUAUCCAAAGACCUUGGGUACAGGGGGCUACUGACAACAAACAAUACUUAUGUACUGUACUACCCGAAGAACAGUGGACCUUGGCGUGGGCUGGGUAACCCACUAGCUCAUGGUCAUCCCUGACUGCCCCUAUCCCUUGCUCAUGAAAAAUUUGCUCUCCAAGAUGGCUUGUGUGGGCUAAAAUGGCUGGGUGAGGCCAUGUGUAUGCAUAUCUGCAGACUGUAUAUGUGGAGCUUAAGACUGUCUCAGUGCACCAGUACCUGAUGCUGGGAGAUGUGUGGCUUACUGCUCUUCUGCCUAGAACCCAUCACUCCUGCCAGCCGGGCACUAACAACUGUCACCCAAUCCAGGGUGAUAGAGUGGCUGAUGUUUUGCCUCUAAAUAAAAAGUCCCAAAAGAUGGGACCACUGGUCAGCUGCCAUGGACUAGAUUCUCCACCGGUUCGGGGCAAUCUGGUCACCUUGCUGCCCCAUCCUGACCCGGAGCCACCAUAGCAUGAGUAUCAAGUACUGGCAGAAGCCAAUGGGGGGGGGGGAAGACCUCUGCGACUGGCUGAUUGAUCCCUGCUGAAAGCCGAGGCUACCUUGUCUAUUGAUGGAAACAGUUCUCUUCAUAAAGGUCAGAGAUAAGUACACGCUACAAUGAAGGACUACACAAAUGUCAUCUGGGAUGGACAAACCUCUACCCCCCAGCACAUCAGCGCCACAGAUGCCUUACAGUGUCUUGGAUGCCCUGAUGAAGCCAACAACUGUGAGUAUUAUUCGUUGCCCAGGACAUCAGGAAAGAAGAGAUUCAGUGACAUGGGACAGUAACAAAACAGAUAAAGUGGCUCGGGGAAUGGCUAUGCAGGAGCCUAUCCUGGUUACAGGCCUACAAGAGACAGCCACUGUGAACUGGGAUUAGACUAAAGGAUGGCCUCACUUAGAAUGUACAACAGAAGAAAAGGUCCAAAUUGCUUUUCUCUUAGUGUUUGUAGAUACCUUUCCAGGAAUAAAUAAAAGCUUUCCUCACUAAACAAGAGAUGGCCUCAAUAGUCAUCCAGAAGAUACUGGAAGAAAUCUUCCCCUGAUUUGGAAUGCCCAAGGUAAUCCGGUCAGACAAUGGCCCUACAUUUGUUGCUAAGCUAAGCCAGGGUGUGGCCAAGUAUUUAGAGUUCGAUUAAAAAUUACAUUAUAUCUACAGACCUCAAAGUUCAAGACAGAUAGAAUAAAUAGAUAAAGCUCUAAAACAGACCCUGACCAAAUUAACCAUGGAGACUGGUGCAGACUGGGUGAUACUCCUUCCCUCUUGCUCUCUUCAGAGCAAGAAAUCUCCCUUCUAGAUUCAGCUUAACCCCCUUUGAGAUCUUAUAUGGGGCCUCAGCUCCUCUGACUGUAUUAGAUGAUGUUACUGAGCCAACAUGUCAUAGUAAUAAUGAUUUGUAUACCAGGCUAAAAGACCUACAGCUGAUACAGAAAGAAAUCUUCUCACAGCUGGAAGCAGCCUAUGCCCCGGGGACCCCCCGAGACAUCUCAUCAGUUCCAGGUCAGAGACUGCAGCUACAUACAAUGACACGGAGCCCAGACACUCGGGCCUCGCUGGAAAGGACCAUACCUGGUGCUGCUGACCACCCUGACAGCUGUCAAGUCUCAGCCUACACUAGCCACAUACUAGCCGUUGGGGCUGAGAGCUGGGACCUAGAGAGACACUCAGAUCUUCAAAAAGCUCCCUAGACUUACACAUCAGAGAUGGUUCGAGAGCUGGUUUAGUAGAUCUGCUUAGAUGACUACUCUGAUAUCUUCCCUUAUGGGACCCUUCUUAAUUUUGCUUCUGUUUUCGAUUAUAGGUCCCUGAGUGUUAAAUAAGCUAGUUACCUUUAUUAAAAAAAGAGGAGUACUGUUCAGAUUUUGAUGUUACGCCAACAAUAUCAUGUUUUCCAAGGUUAAAAAAUAUUAUAAAGAUACAAAAAUUUAGUUCUAAGAUUAGAACUAGCCAGUAGAAGAAGUAGGGUAUGAAAGGUAAAUGUUUUAAAGUUGCCCCCCUAGACACAAAGUUUAGAGCAGAAAAAAAAAAAAAAAAAAA